CUGCUGCUGUUUGUUUACCUCAUCCUCCCCUCAUAGCAAAUUUUCUGUCACUGGCAGCUACGCCUGCCCUCUCAUCUGCGAAAAUCUGACAGUUGCCUCCCCCUAUCCAUAGCACAAGUCUCCUAUCUGCAUCGUCCUUCCCUAUCUCCUUGGGUUGUCCAGAACCUUCUCCCCCUAAUAGCCAUCUCCGUUCUCAUCUCCCAAGCUAUUAUUUACACUAUAAGCCAAAAAAAACCUAUGAUGUACUUGUCCUCUUCUAUCCCUUUUUCCUCAUAUUCCUCCUAUGCUAUGUCUAUACCAUACGGUUGAGGUAAACUCAUCUCGCGAAUUCUCGAUCUAUUAAUCAGUGUUGCUUUACCAGACCUGUGACUCUAUGCCUUAUCCUACCUAUUCGUAUGUGUAGGGGUAAAGGGGCAAAGGAUGCCAGCGUUUUGUAAAUACAACAACUUCGUUGCUUAUCCUCCCAGCCAAGAUCUUGGAUCAAGGGAGGAGAAAAAAAAUUGGAGGGUCACGAUCUGUUCCCAUCUCCCCACACUUCCAAAACCUUCUCCCCCUAAUAGCUACCUUUGUUCCCACCUCCCAAGAUAUUAUCUGCCUAUGUUACCUCUAGCCUGCAAAUUCCAGUUGUCCGAUGUCCUUGACAGGUUGUAUGCCUACACCCUACACUCCCUCUUCAUCUUCUUUACAGCUUUACUGAUUUUAUGGACGGAAGGGGGGAAGGAUCGUCGUCAUAAUCAGAACAAGAUGCAGUUAUCAUGCGUUUUUGCUAUUAGUGCAUGAUGUGGUUGUGGACUUGUGAUUGCCACUAAACCGAGAUGUAUGCGAUCUGCAAUUCAAUAUCUUAGUUCAAUCAAAGGGUUUUGCUAGGAGUCUUGGCUCGACCACAAUUUCUCUUGGCUAUAUAUUGGAGGAUCCUUACAGCUUUGCAAAUAGCUUGGGCCAAAGAGUUAGAUACAUGACGAUGGAAUGUUGGUACCAGUUGAGGAGAGAAUAUCAGCUUCAAUAGUAUGUCCUCCCUCUCCUCCUCCCUCGGGAAAUGGCCUCUUCUAUUUCCCACAAAGUGUGAUCAGAAAAUAUUUUAUGCGAAGUUAACAUGCCCGAUGAGACAAAACAAAUAUCAAGUUACACAAGUGGAGUGACAUUUGAAGUUUUGGACAUAAAUCCACUUAGGUUGUAUCAUUUUUACGAAUGCUGCUGGUGUUCGAAAGUUGAUUUUUCCGAAAUAAAGUUCACUAAUAACGUA